rnacentral:rRNA from 1 species
UGCCAGCCGCCGCGGUAACACGAACUGUGCAAACGUUAUUCGGAAUCACUGGGCUUAAAGGGUGCGUAGGCGGUCUUGUAGGUCAGAUGUGAAAGCCCACGGCUCAACCGUGGAAUUGCGUUUGAAACCACAAGACUUGAGUAAGAUAGAGGUAAGCGGAACUGAUGGUGGAGCGGUGAAAUGCGUUGAUAUCAUCAGGAACACCGGUGGCGAAAGCGGCUUACUGGGUCUUUACUGACGCUGAGGCACGAAAGCUAGGGGAGCGAAUGGGAUUAGAUA